rnacentral:rRNA from 1 species
CCUACGGGAGGCAGCAGUGAGGAAUAUUGGUCAAUGGACGAAAGUCUGAACCAGCCAAGUCGCGUGAAGGAUGACUGCCCUAUGGUUUGUAAACUUCUUUUAUAAGGGAAUAAAACGAGCCACGUGUGCCUUUUUGCAUGUACUUUAUGAAUAAGGAUCGGCUAACUCCGUGCCAGCAGCCGCGGUAAUACGGAGGAUCCGAGCGUUAUCCGGAUUUAUUGGGUUUAAAGGGAGCGUAGAUGGGUUGUUAAGUCAGUUGUGAAAGUUUGCGGCUCAACCGUAAAAUUGCAAUUGAUACUGGAAGACUUGAGUACAGUUGAGGUAGGCGGAAUGCGUGGUGUAGCGGUGAAAUGCGUAGAUAUCACGAAGAACCCCGAUUGCGAAGGCAGCUUACUAAACUGUGACUGACACUGAUGCACGAAAGUGUGGGUAUCAAACAGGAUUAGAUACCCGGGUAGUC